CAAGCUUGCUCAAGUAUUUGUAUUAGUGUAUACAUUUUUUUUUCAAUCGUUUAUAAUUAAAAAGUGCACCUUAAUUAUAAUUUUACAAUUGUAAACACAUAUUUACACGAUACACAAAAAGUUUCUGUUGUAAGCAUUAUCACACAUUAGUUACAGUUACAGUUAAGCCACAAUUUUUUUUAUUAGUUAGGGGGAGUUUUGGAGACUGUUAUCCAAAAUUAUUGUCUUAAUUUUUAAUAAAAAAAAACUUUGAAUUACAACUAUGAAUAAUAUUUUUGGGCACUAAGAUCAAAUAUUAGUGCUACAAACAAAUAUAGAUUUAACAAUCAGCCUGCUGCAGUUAAUCUCUAGGACAGUGUUGUCAUUCUGGAAGUCCGCUCCUCAUAAGAAGAAAAAAAAUACAAUAAUAUUAAUGCUUUGCACAGAGGCACAAACAAGUGAGUGACUUUUAAAUUUACCACUUAAUCCACAUUCCAUCAUUUAUUUCCAUUUAUUAAUAAAAUAUUCUCUGUUUCUUUCUCAUGUUUUUCAGAGAAUACUAAAGAAAAACUGUAGACUUGACUUUGAGGGAGAAGGAGACAGACCUUAAAAAAGAGGAUGCUACAAGCAGUUUACGGUAAAUUUUCAAGAAGUAAUUCCUCCAUCCGGCUAUACCGCUUUUGUGUUUCCGGUUCUGUUGGUUUGUCUUGUUCCAGUUGAGGUGGUUGAUUCUGCGCUGUCUGCUCAUCCACAAUGGGGGCAUGAUGUUUUCUUGAUGGUUGGACAACGCUCACAGAUGAUGAUGUUUGUUAUAACUUACGUGGAGGAGUAGUGGACAUCUCUCUACUUCCAGAGGCUGCUACUGGUGUGAUCAGAGUUACUGUUAAAAAUAGAAUAAAAUCAGCACAAGCCAAGGUACUUACCAGAACUAGGCUGAGACGUGCUUGGGGCUGAUCGCCCUGCAGAGUAUUUUUGGUGAACAAAAACAGAAAAAAGGAUGCAAAGGCCACAGCGUCUAAAAUUCAGAUUUGUCUCUCCUACUUGAGCUACGGACACCAGUGACAACAGCCUCUGGAAGAAGUUUGUCCCGCACCUCCUUCUCCCAACUGUUGAAACGCACACUCUUUGAUGUGGAGUGCAUAAUUGCCAUUUUCCUUUUGACCAUCGCCCUGCAAUCAUAAUACCUAUAAAUCAAAUAAAAACAUAUUUUUGGCUAGA